rnacentral:lncRNA from 1 species
GGAUGGCCCCCGUGCUGGGCUCACCCAUCUGACAUCAACAUGAAGUUUCCCCUAUUAUAAACAUGCUGCACUCGUGUGACACAUCUGUCCACCAUUGAUAGACCCACAGGGACGUGCCAUCAUCACCCGGAGUCCACAGCUCAGCCGGUGUGUGCCUGCUGCGGGUUUGGCACUGCAUGGAAAAUGGAUUUUUUUUAACACAUCGAGGCAAAACGUGAAAAAUGGAUUUUGAAGAAGACUUUUCCCAGCGGACAGUGGUUCCCCUGAUGAAUUUGAACGUGAGCACCUGCUGUGAGCGGGAGCGGGGGCCUCAGCCUGGGGUCCCUCCUGGAGGGGCCCUUGCUGCCCAGCCCCGCAGCAGUGCGGGCAUCAGAUGAAGCAGCGGCAUUGCCCUGCGUGUGGUCAGCGGCCAAGCUAUGCUCAUUGUGAGCCCCAUGCCCGGACGGCGCUGCCCCCACCACAGCGACCGGCCCAGUACAGGGUGGAUGACAGGAACCCUUCCUCGGGACUCUUCCAGCCGGGCCCAGGCGGAGACGUCAUUAGGAGGGUCUCUCUUUUCCUCCUGGGUUCCAAAGCCAUACGGGAAAACCCAGUAGACUCCACAAUUCAUGAAAACUGACAGGAGAGGCCAGACCAAGAUCAACACAAAAUUCAAAACGAUUUCUCCACACUGGCCAUAAAUAACCAGAAAAUAGAAAAUGAACACCAUGCACGAUAACAAGAUAAACCAUUCGUUAUGUAAGAUGAAGGGCGAAUAUGAAGUCCACACAAAGAAAGUCCACCCUUGGCCUCCCCCUCGGCUCCCUCACCCCGUGCUGUGAGACCACAUAUCACUCAGGGCUGCGCUAGGGCCAGGGGGCUGGGCAGGGUCUCCCUGUCUCUCUGUCUCUGCCUCUGUCUCUCCCUGUCUCUCUGUCUCUCCCUCUGUCUCCCUCUCUCUGUCUCUUUCUGUCUCUGUCUCUUUCUGUCUCUGUCUCUCUCUGCCUCUCUGUCUCUGUCUCUCCCUCUGUCUCUGUCUCUCUGUCUCUCCCUCUCUCCGUCUCUGUCUCUCUCUGUCUCUCCCUCUCUUUCUCUGCCUCUCCCUCUCUCUGUCUCUGUCUCCCUCUCUCUGUCUCUUUCUGUCUCUGUCUCUUUCUGUCUCUGUCUCUCUCUGCCUCUCUGUCUCUGUCUCUCCCUCUGUCUCUGUCUCUCUGUCUCUCCCUCUCUCCGUCUGUCUCUCUCUGUCUCUCCCUCUCUUUCUCUGCCUCUCCCUCUCUCUGUCUCUUUCUGUCUCCCUGUCUCUGUCUCUCUCUGUCUCUGUCUCUCUCUGUCUCUGUCUCUCUCUGUCUCUGUCUCUUGAAUCCCCUUGAUUAUUAUUUUUCUUAAAUUCCUCAUGUUAUCUCGCGUGCACUCAGGGGAAAGGUGGAGCUCUGGCCACAACCUAUAGCCACCUGCUGGGGAAGCCGCAGCAGAUCAGGACUCAGUCAGUGACCCCACUCCACACUCAAGACCAGCCAGAGGAACCCAAAUAUGGAUGCCCACCUCCCCCAUGCCCAUCGCAGGGGCAGCUGAGCCCCGGCAGUGGCCUCCCCACGUGAUCAGUCCCCGCACCCACACCUCUGCCUGCGGCUGGGCAGCCUCCCCGCUCCCAGCACUCCCUCCUGUCUUUCCUGCCACUGCGUGAGCACCACGAGGUCAGGAACUGAUUUUACCUCCCUCACAGGAAGUCAAAGGUCAAAGGUCUUAGAUGCCCCUGGCACCUGAUCCUGGAGCCCUGACCCCAGACAAAUGAGUCAUGUCGACACUUUCCAAGAUGAAUGGCCACAUCCCCAGCCAUCAGGCAAACUUAGUAAGCCCUGUUUCCAAUCAUAUCAAGCCUGUUCAAUAUAACUUUGUUUAGAGAUGGGGCCUUGCUCUGUUGCCCAGGCUGGAGUGCAGUGGCACAAUCGCAGCUCACUGCAGACUCAACCUCCUGGGCUCAGGUGAUCCUCCCAGCUCAGCCUCCCGAGUAGCUGGAAUGAGAGGUGUGAGCCACUGUGCCCGUCUUAAAUAUAAUUUUUAAUGUAACUACAUAAAAGCUAAAUUGAAUCACAACUAGAACUUUUCUAAAUUUCAAGCUUGCAGUAUCUUUCCUGUACUUGGAACCAGGAAAAAUUUUUUUCUGGUCUCAAACCUUUUCGUAGGUCCUUGCAAAGUUCACAGGCUUCGUUUCCAAAUGGAGCACGAUGUGCCUGACAGAUCAAAGGGCCCUGCUCAGCCCAGGAACAGGCAGCUGCCUGUGCUGGGAAAGUCCGGUGUCUAACAGGUCACAGGUCACACCGUUCACAGCAGCGUUUUUCACGACGGCCAGAGGGUGGACGAAUGUGUUACAUGACCCCUGCCCCGAAUGUGAUAUGUACGCACAAUGGGACGUCAGUGGUCCCAGAAAUGGAAGGCACCUCGGACCCAGGGGCCACACAGCCACCCUGAGGACCUGAUGCUGAGGGAACGAGCCCCUCUCAGAAGCUCAAAUACCGUUUGAUCCCACGUGUGAGGUCUCCAGAGUCGUCAAACCUACAGAGACAGACAGUACGAUGGUGGUGCCCAGGGCAGGUGGGGGUUGGUGUUUGAUGGGGCCGGUUGACAUUUGGGAAGAUGUAAAGCUCUGCAGGUGGAUGGCAGUGAUGGCUGCACGGCAACGUGAAUGUGCUUCAUGCCACUGACCUGUGCACUUAAAAAUCAUUAAGACGGCCCGGGCAUGGGGUGGCUCACGCCUGUAAUCCCAGCACUUUGGGAGGCCAAGGUGGGCGAUUACCUGAGGUCGGGAGUUCAAAACCAGCCUGACCAACAUGGUGAAACCCUGUCUCUACUAAAAAUACAAAAUUAGCUGGGUGUGGUGGUGCAUCCCGGUAGUCCCAGCUACUUAGGAGGCUGAGGCAGGAGAAUCGCUUGAACCCUGGAGGCAAAGGUUGCAGUGAGCCGAGAUCACACCACUACAUUCCAGCCUGGGCAACAGAGUGAGACUCCAUCUCAAAAAAAAAUUGUUAAAAUGGUCAACUUUAUGUUAAAGGUAUUUUACCACAAUAAAAGCAAAGGUCACAGGCAGACCUCAUGAGUGCCCUGGAGGUGCUGUUGCCCCUGGGAUGGAAGCUCAUUAUUUUCAAAUGUUCUAUAUAUGGGGGUCUCUAUUCCGGGACAUUUGCUUAAAAAUCUCUUGGAUCAGACCCUUCUUCAGUUUUUCCUGCAAUUAUCAAUAUCUAGUUUGUUUCUAUAGUAGUUCAAUCAGCUAAGUAAAAAGCUCGAUGCUAAAUCUUGUCAAAGACAUUGCAAAUCUCCAUAGAUCGUCUGCGAAACCACAGCUUUCAUGUUUUGAGCGUAAGACCCUGGGGCUGGUGCUGUAACCCCUGCCCAGACUCUUCUGAGUUUCGGCGGCCCAGCAGGGCAGGGCCGGGCACCUGGCAGGUGGGGUCAUCCCCACAGGGCACCCCGGCCGAGGGCAGAGCUGGUUCCGCCGCAGGGUCGAUCCUGGGCUCUGGGCUGUGCACACGUCCUAUUGACACCCCGAGGACAGGACGUGCGAGUGACUCGUGAGAUUGGGCCUCCCUUGCUGAAAACUUCCCUGGUGGCUGACAGCUGCGUGGACAUUCAGCGGCCCUACCUUUUUCCGUCAGGCGCCAGCAGCCCCUCUGUGUAGAGGUGAGACAGGCCAAGCUGCAGCUUCUAGACGAGACGCCCGAAAGCAGAGAAGUACCCAGAGCAGGGACCCGGCAGCCCGGCAGUACGCUGGGCACAGUCGCAGCCCCGCCUCUUCCUUCUCCGUCUUGUUCCCUCCUUCGGUCCCAGGAGAAAGACGCUCAUCUCCCCACAUGAGAGGCUCAGUGUAGGCGUCUGGACAGGGGCCAGUCCCACAAGGCUACUGACUCCGGACCACAAAGAAGCUGGAAGCAGCAGCUCCGCCUCUGCAGCCAAUUGCAGAGCUUUUUUCUCUGUGUUCUGCCCCCACUUCCAACUCAGGACCAACCAGAGGACGCCAAACACGUCCUAUCACCAACCACCGGACACCUGAC